AACGUUCUAAGUAUACCCUAGUUGUAUGACUUAGACGUUGACGAAUGUAGUAAGUAAGAUAUGAAUUAUCAAGGAAAGUCGUAACAAACGGUAAUGAGAUUAAAGAAAGUCCGAGUGUGAGUCGGAUAGAGAAUGUUAGAAUGAAGUAAGCGUUGAACACUUUAACCAGCGUAAGGGUUGAGUGUAAGCGAGUGUUAAACGG
rnacentral:lncRNA from 1 species